AUAAAAGUUUGAAAAUAAAAGUUUGAAAAUAAAAGUUUGAAAAUAAAAGUUUGAAGUUCGUUCGUAGUCAGGAAAAAAGCCUGCGAAUACCGCCUUUUACGCAGGCUGAGCCUGAUAUUUACAUUUCAAAAACGUAUUAAAUUUGUGAGGAAAACACAAAGAAAAAUCAUAACAUAAGCGUGUCGUUUACAUGUGAUAGAGAUUUCCCUUGAUUUACAUAAACUUUAACUUUGAUUUUCUCGACUUACACAACGUAUUUUUUGAAAAUUACGUUGCCAAUGACCGUAGUAUAGAGCGAUCGUUUUUGA